ACAAAUUCCAGUUUGUAAAAUUACACAAUUUUUGAUAGUUUUUUUUUGUAAGUUAAUGCUAUUUUUCUAUGCUUCUGUGAGUUAUCUGUAAUUUAAUUAACAAAAUAGAGAAAAAUCUGAAAUUUAAUAGUAAAUUGUUUUUUAAAAAAUACUGUUAAUUUUUAAAAAAUGUUUUCCCGGUGUGUAGGAACUGUGAGGCUGCAACCAUCCGUUACUUUUAUCACCAACAUCGGAUUUUUAUUUUGUUUCCUGUAAUAAUAGAUUGUCAGUCUAUAAAAUGCUCGUCAUUCUUCCCUGAAGCCAAAGUGAGCAUGCUCUGAUGUAUUUUUUGUUUGAACAACAGUCAAAAACCUCCAAUAAUGACUUUUCUGUCACAGAAAAUAACCAAGUUUUCAGAUGUGAGAUGCUGCUGGCAGGAAUUUUGGCGUCUUUGUUCAAAGUGUUCUUAAGAAACUGCCUGAAUAAUGAACAUAAUUGUUGGUUGUCACCUUACAGUUCUUCUAUGAUGGUUUAAUACAGCUUUUACUGAAGUUUUGUGUCUGUUAACUUACUUUAAAGACCCACUGAGGAAGAUUUUAGCGGAAAUGUAGCGUUGCCGAAGCAACGCUCCAUUUCCCGUGAGCCUUGGCGUGCACUGUCGCAAACCGUCGUACCCACACAGUGUUUUUGCCACAAAGUUAGUCAACUAAACCAGUCAAACUAAUCCCAUAGUCUACUAACCACACAUCGCAAGCAACACACACAAAAGACAAAAGAAUUGUAUCAAACUUACAAAGAGCUAAAGUUACGUACCUGUCGACGAGAAGCACAGCCAGCUCAGCGUCUGUUUUGAUUCCUUUUUGCUCCUGGAAUUCUCUCCACCUCUGAAAUGCCUGUCCAAGAUGAACUUUUCUUUUGCUUUGUUGUCGAUCUGACAACCUUUUUGCUUGCAGACUUUGCUCCGUUGGCUUCCUUUUGCGCUCCAUGUGUGCCGUCUUCUCAACCAACUCUCCGCUCUGCUACUGCUAAAAACAACUAGCUCCGCUCUGCUACGCUCCGUCAGCGCACGCGCACCGUAUUUGCUGUAAAUCGCUCCGUCUCUCACAGGAAAUUCUGGACGAGUCGACAAAAAAUUAAUAAAAUACAAAUAUUUACAAAACCAAAAUGAUUCAUGAAUCGAAAAUGGGGGCAUUAAUAAGUGUAAAUAACGAAGAUUCAUCCACAUUAAUAUGAGACUUUGUUACGAGCAUAAAAAUCUUCCUCGGUGGGUCUUUAAACAUAAAUAAAAAAGAAGCAAAUUGGUAAAACACAAUUUAGAACUCAAACUAAAGAUGGAGGAUAUAAUGGAGUUAAUGUACCACUUUAUAGACGCAAAAUCUCAACAGAUUUGCAGUUAACCGGGCGAUGAUGUGAAGUAAACGUGGAACUUUGGGUCCUCUGUGGGUCUGGUGAUGUUGACUUUAUCUACUUGUUUUUUCAGCCCUGCAGAGGCUGAGGUUUGAUGCAUUCUCACCCUGAACUUCUGCCUUCAGAUCACUGAGUCGACUGAGCUCGUCGGAGAGGGUGAGGUUUUUUUUAUUUUUUUUAUCUCUUAGGAGGAGUUUUCUCCUGGGAACCUGCUGGCUGUGAAACCAAACUCCAGGUACUGGAAAGCAAGAGUUUUUCACUUUAUCUAUUGAUGUUUUAAUGCAAACAUUUUGAUAUUUCAGCUCGCAUGAAUAAGAAACUCUGCAAAUUUCCGUAGUCUGACAGGAAACAGAAAGAAUGAGAAUGAGUAACAUAAAAUAAACUCACAGGAAUAAAUAUAAAUAUAUAUAUAUACAUGUAUGACAAGUAAGUGAGGAAGAAUAAAAUAGAAUGAAAAGAAACACGGACUUGGAAAACGUACUAGUGUAAAUACAGACGGGCUGUAUGCGUCCCCUGAACUAAAAUCAGUUGGACACUCCUGUCCAAACACUGUUUGCUGCUGAAGUUUUGAGUUCUUUUGUUCAGACAUGAAAAGACAGAUGUUUAUUACCUGACGUCUGGCUGUCAGUGAGACGCUUCUGAAGAAGGCGAGAGCUGUCAAGGUAAUCAACAUCUAUCUGUUCAUCUUAUAUCUGCACAAAAGAACUCAAAACUAUUACAAUAAGAAGAAGACAUGAUGAGCUACUCUUUGCUGCUUUCUCACCACCAAAUGGCAGAAAUGUAAAGUUACCAAAUAGCUGAUAAAGAAAAUCAACAAUGUAUCGGCUAUGAAGACGAAAAUAUAUAGAGGUGGUUGAGACCAAAACUGAGCAAAAACAAGGAGGAAAACUCAAUUUAGGUGCAUCGGAGUACCAAAAACAGAGUUCUAUGAGUACAAAUCAUGUAUUUUUAAUUUAAUUAUGUCUGUUGAUUGUGUGCUCCACGGUGGAUUUGUGGUUAGCACUGUCGCCUCACAGCUAGAAGAUCCCUGGUUCACUUCCUGGUCUGGGAUCUUUCUGCAUGGAGUUUGCAUGUUCUCCCUGUGCAUGUGUGGGUUUUCUCCAGGCACUCUGGCUUCCCCCCACAGUCCAAAAACAUGCUGAAGUUAACUGAUAAUUCUAAAUUGUCCACAGGUGUGAAUGUCCAGGGGGUCCCGUGCCUUCACCCUAUAAUGGAUGGAUGGAUGGUUGGAUGAAUGGAUGGAUGGAAGGAUGGAUAUUAACUGAAGCAUCUGUUAAGUCGAAUCAUUUGUAUAUUGAUCGCUGCAUUAAUUAAACUAGAAAAUCUGCUUCUUUGUUUUACAUUUAACACAAACAAUACAAAUAAACUAACUGUGCUUUUGUGGAUUAUGUCCAUUUUUAAGUUUCUGACACUCGAUUUUAGUGUUCAGGGUAGAAAUCAGGUUCAGUUUGGGGUCUGAUGGUUCUCACAAAGACAGAAAUGAAACUGUGUGUGUGCGUUCACCUGUCCACACACACACACACACAAUCACCACAACCCGGUGACUUUAAUACCAAUCCAGCUGUUCCCAUGGCAACCAAACCUGAAAAUAGUAGAGAGAGUGCCAACGUCUCCCAUCGGCAGCAUCGCACACAGUGAACCCAGUGUGUCUGUGUGUCAGCAGCAAAUAUAGAAACAACAACUGUGCAGGUGGUUUUUACAGUUUCAGCUCAAGUUUCACGAAACGCUGUGAACUUGUUAAGUAAAUCUUCUUCUCUCUGAAGAUGAACUUCUUUCUUCUGCUGCUCCAUCUGUGGGCCAGUGCUGGGAUCCAGAUCAACAUGUAGCUGCAGAGGAAACACAAUCCUCAGUCACUUUCCUGCUUCGACCAGUUCAAUGUGACAGCAAAGAGACGCAAAAUAACCACGAAGAGGCACAAAAAGAUGUAGUCUGGCCACAAAGAGACUCAAAAGACACAAAAUAACCACAAAGAGACAAAAUAAUCACCAAAAGACACAAAAUAACCAUAAACGGAAACAAGACACAAAAUAACCACAGAGACCCCCAAAAACACAAAAUCCCCACAAAUAGACACCAAAGGACAAAAAAAACAAAAACAAAAAGAGAUGCAAAAAAUGCAAAAUAACCUAAAAGAGACUCAAGAAGACUCACAAAUUCAAAAACACACUACUUGACCACAAAGAGAUGCUAAAAAGAUGCAAUCUUCCCACAAAGAGCCACAAUAAGGUGCCAAGAGACACAAAAAGAUGUAAAGUAACCACAAAAAGAGACAAAAUAAUCGCAACGAGAAACAAAAAAGUAAAAUAACCACAAAAAGACACAAAAUAACCACAGAGACCCAAAAAAACCUGACAACAUUACCCUAAAUAGACACCAAACAACAACAAAGAACCAAAAAAAGAUGCAAAAUAACCUCAAAGAAACUCAAAAAGACUACAAUAAAAAAUAUAAAAUUUAUUAUUAUUAUUAUUAUUAUUAUUAUUAUAUAAAAUAUAAAAAAGACGUGAAAUAACUACAAACAAACAAAAAAAGAUGCAAAGUAACCACAGAGACACCAAAAGACUCUUUAAAAAACAAAACAUGAAGCGAAAAGAUACAAAAUAACCACAAACAGACACAAAAGGUUACACUGCAACCACACAGAGAUCCAGAAGAGCCACAGAGACCAAAAAAGAUACAAAAUAACAAUAAUCAAAUGCAAAAAAAUACAGACACAAAAACAUAAAUGACCACAGUCAGAGUUAAAAUAACCACAAAGAGAAGCAAAUUGGCACAACAUAAUCACAAAAAGAUGCAAUGUAACCAUGAAGAGACCCAAAAAGACAAAACAUAACCAGAGAGACAAAAAAACCCGUAAAUAACCACAACCAGAGACAAAAUAAACCAAAACACCACAGCAUAAUCACAAAAAGAUGCAAAACGCGAACAGAGAGGCAGAAAGAUGCAAAAACUCUAAUGAGACACAAAAAGACUGAAAGUAAGACAAAAUAAUCGGAAAAAGACACACAAAUAUGUACAAAAAUAAAAUAAAAUGACACAAACAGACACAAAAGAUGUUAAAUGAGUCAAAGGAGACACAAAAUAUGCACAAAUUAAAUAUUGCACAUAACGUGUGAACAGAACAUGUUUGUUGUUCAACAUCCUGAGGGGGAGGGGUCACAUGAUUGACAGCUGCAGUGUGUGUGUGUGUGUGUGUGUGUGUGUGUGUGUGUGUGUGUGUGUGUGUGUGUGUGUGUGUGUUGUUGAUCAGUAUUUGUGUGUCUGUCAUGGAGGCUGUUCACCGACUGAUGGUUGCUCUACAUGAGUGACAGACUCUUGAAUUGAUUUUAGAUUAUUGAUUUUAUAUUGAUUUAUUCUCUAACAGACACAGACUGAGUGCAUUUGUUUAGAAUUCCAUAUUUUACGUAAACACCGGUUCUCCUGCUCUCUUUCUGCUUCCUGUGCCGGUCUGUUUGUGUUUCAGUUGUUUCCUGCUGCAGCCUGAUGACUCGAGCUGGUAAAACCUCACCUGAGUUUAAACUCAGAAACAGGUUCCGGAUCAGUUCACCAGCUUUAUUCUGCUGCUUUUUCUUCAUUAAUAUCAGAGCAGAAGCUGCUUUGUAUCUCUUUGUAGUUGUUUUACAGCUCUUUGGUUGUUUUGUUUUGUGGUCAUUUGUGACAAAUUGUGAUUUUGUGUUUCUUUUUGGUUGUUUUGUACAUCCGUUUGGUCAUCUUGUGUCGACUUUUUGUUAUUUAAUGUCUCUCUGUGGACAUUUUGUAUCAGUUUGUGGUUGAUUUGUUUGUCCUCGAUUGUUUUACAUAUUUUUAAUUGUUUUGUCACUCUUUUCACCUUUGUGUGUCUAUUUGUGGUUGUUUUAUGUUUUAUGUCUUCAGUCUGAACGGCGACCUGGCCGUUCAGACUGAAGUCGCAUGGCAAAAGAUCCUAUACGUAUUGGAAUUUGGACCACAUAUCCAAGUGGCCUGGGUUGCAUUUGAAAAAAUCGGAUCUGUGUCUUUCAGACUGUCAUGAAAAGAUCAGAUACAGGUCGCAUAGGGGCAAAAAAAUCAGAUUUGGGUCACUUGAGCCUGCAGUGUGAACAUAGCUGUUUUAUGCCUCUUUUUGGUCUCUGUGUAGAUUCUCAUCCAUCCAGGUCAUGGUUAUCCAAAGUAGUUUAAAUCAAUCCACUGGACUUUAAGAAAGUUCCUUGAAGACGUUUCACCUCUCAUCCAAGAGGCUUCUUCAGUUCUGGUGGUGGUUGGUGUUGCCGCAGCUUUUAAACCUCUGUGAGGUUUGUUCAGGGCUAUUAUUCCAACGACCAAUACCAAGACUCGUCUGACUACUCAAUGAUGGUCGUUAGGGUGCAUCAAACCCCCCAAGUAAAAAAUAUUGCCAUGGCUAUAUAAUAUAAAUGUUCUACCCCUAAUAAAAACACACUGUAUAAAAUAUUUUGAAAUUUGGAUAAAUUCUACCGGGUCCACAUUGACCAUAAAAUUUUGAAAUAAUGGCAAUAUUCGAAUAAAUGGUUAUAUUACUAUGGCAAGCAAUGCCAAGCAUUAAUGUUUGCAUUUUCCCAGAAUUUUAAGUGGUAAAUAUCAUUCUUCUGCACUUUUACUUUCAGUUUCUCAGAAAUACAUGGUUUCUAAUCUAGAAGUAUUGCUCUAAUGCAGCAUGUAGUCAUACACUCGUCUGCUGACAAAGCACAACAAAAUGGCAAAAGCAGUUAAAACAGUAAGGAAUACUCGUGAAUCUGCUGCUAUAUUUGGUCUUGGAGCGGGCAUAACAAGAAUGGAUAAAGAAAUUACAGGCUGCAGGCUGCCAACCAAUGAGCAGGUGAUAAGAAGUUACAUGUUCCAUCAACAUGAAGGAUCAGCGCAGGGCACAGCAUCCAAUAGAACACAAAGGGACAAUGCAAAGACUGUUCUGGACAAGAUAAUUCCAUUUUAUCAGAAAGGAAACAUCCCUAUGAUUUCAGAGAAACGAGCUUGUGAGAAAAUUGUAGAACUAGUUGGGAAGAAUUCUAAAAUUCGAGAAAUACCAGUAGACCGCCAUUCAUCUCCAAGUGUACUGGCGAAACUGAAAGAUAUGGAAAUUGAUCUGCAGAAGACUUUUCCCCUGUGGACUAGAGAUGCAGAGCAAGUUAUGAAAAACCAAGAAGAUAUCAAAUUUCUUCAGUCAAUGAAAACUGACAGAAUUGCCUCAUUUGGUGUUCAUGAUCAGGCACUGGCAUCCCAGAUCCAGCGUAAAGAAUCCCGAGAGCUAAAACAAAAGGAAUUCCAAGAGAAGGCUGAGAAAAAAAAGAAACGGCUAGUAAAACUGUUCAGCUGACUGACAGUGAAAGCAGUCAAGAUGAAGAUAACAGUGGUGAAGAUUUGGUCACUCCUGGAAUGACUUGAGUCUGUACAAGAAAUCCCUGCAAUACAAGGCAAUCAAUCCAACCGUAUCAAAGAGUGCCAUAACUGCUCUAUCCCGUCAUCUGUGGUAUUUAACUACAGAAACGGUACCACUUGCACUCUUCAGUGAUUUAACUCCAUCAGGUGAGCGGCACAACUUGGCUGAGAGGCUCAUGGCAGUGAAAUCUGAACAUGGUGACAGUCAGGACACACCUAGAAAUUGCUUUGGUGCAGGUUUUGGGAAGCCACAUUUUCCAACUGACAUCACACAGUCUAUGACACGAGCAGAUUUUUGUUUUAUGGCUCUGUCUUCCUUGUUUUAGCUCUGUUUUUGGUCAUUUUGUCUGUUGUUUUGGUUUUAUGUCUCUUUGUUUCUCUGUUUGGUAGUUUUGUUUCUCGUGUCUUUUAUUUUUGAUUGUUGUGUGAUUCUGUGUCUCUUUGUGGUCAUUUUGUAUCUGUGGUUGUUUUUUAUUUAUUCUUGGUUGUUUUACAUGAGUUUUUGGUUUUGUGGUGUUUUUAUGCUACUUUGUUUCACUUUGUGGUUGUUUUUUCUUUCUGGGUUGUUUUGUCUCUGUAGUCAUUUUGCGUCACUUUGCAGUUGUCUUACAUCUUUUUACUGAUGUUUUCUUUGUCUUUGUUGAUUCUCUCUGGUAGUUAUACAUCUCUUUGUGGUUGUUUUGUGUCUCUGUGGUCGUUUUGCAUCUCUCUGUGAUAAUUUUGUGUCUCUUAUGCGUGUCUGUGUGAUCAAAUUGUGUUUCUUUGUUGGUUAUUUGGUGGUUGGUGAGUCAUUGGUGGUGUUUAAUAUUUCUUUGCAUCUCUUUUUGGUUGUGUUACGCCUCUGCAGGCUUUUACAUCUUGUUUUGGUCAUUUUGUGUGUUUUUGGUUGUUUUAUGUCUAAUUCAUUGUUUUAUGUCUCUGUUUAGUAGAUUUGGGUCUGUUUGGAGCUUUAUUAGGGCUGUUUUGUGUCUCUUUAUGGUCAGUUUGUGCCUCUCUGUACUUAUCUUGUGCAAUUUUUCCCUGUUAUGGGUUCUGGUAGUUGUUUUUGUCGGUUUUUGUCUGUUCUGUGUGGCUGUUCUGUUUGUCUAGCUCUGGUUCAGUGUUUCUUUGUGAGCUGUAGUGGAGGAAUGAAACACAAACCGAGGAUUUUAAGCUAAAAGAAAAGAAAGAAUCUGGAUGAGAACCAAUUGAUUUGUAUUCCUCAUGUUAACAUCAGAUAAACUGCAUUUGUAUGAAGAACAGUGACUGCAGGUUUUUUACAAAUGGUUACAGCCAGUUUCCUGCUCUCAUCCACUCUGUGUUUGGUUUCCAGACAGCGAUUUGAUCGUGGUGCACAAUGUAACAGUGAGUCAUAGAGAAGCGGAGGUUUGUGUUGAUGGUGUUCCUCCGAAUCGACUGAAGCCGCCGCUCUGCUCCUCCACUCCCCUACUCAACAUUGUGAAGACGAGAUGCUGUGUGCCUUUCUGAGGUUGUUUUGUGACUCUGUGUCUCUGUAGUUGCUGGUGUAAUGGUCGCUGCAGCUGUUUAGUGCCGAUGAAUUUGUCAUGCAUCCGAACUCUGUAUGACCAGAUGUUUGGAUAAAGACGUCGUACAGCUGUGAGCUUGGCGGUAUGUAUCCGAGUGUUUCUGCUCAUUUAAACAGAACUUUGGAUUGAAAGUGAUGCUGUUGUGUGUUCCAGAGAUCCAAACAGAAGGCGACGCUUCACUGCGGUCGGUUGUUUGUUCUUUACCUCCACUUUAGUUUUUCAUGUCAGUCUGAAGCUCUCUGAAGUGACUCGACUGUGUUUCAGCAUCUCAGCUGAUCAGAGUGUUGAUGGUGAACUACGGCAGGACCAGUGUGGAGGUUUGCCCCUACAGCGCCCCCCGCAGGCAGCCGCCCAGCACCCACUGUAGACUCCCUGAAGCUCUGCAGCUGAUGGCCAACAGGUCACACAGCGAUGCAGACACACAAGAAUAAAGCAACAGAGAACUUAAACAGCGUCACAUGUCUUUACCAUCACGCUGUCGGUCUAUCAGUCUCUGCAGAUGAACAUUUUCCUCAUCUUUGCACCGUACAGAUGUUCUGGCUACAACAAUAUUCCAACACCUUCUCUUAAAAUGGUUUUAAAAAAAGCAGAAUGACUCGUUUCCUUUGUAAAAUAAUAAUUUAAACGGGAUGGGUUGUUAAGAUGGCAAAUAAUUUAUUGGAAAAUAACAGUGUCUUUUUCAAAGAAAAAUUUCUUAAAAUCAAGAACUUUUUUGGUAUACAAGAAAAUUAUUUUACAAUUGUGGGUAAUUUUUAAUAAAACACAAAAGUAUCAUACAAGCGAGAAUGUCUCUCAGAAUUUCUUUUUGUGAAAAUGAAGGUUUCUACAAAUACGGUUUUGUUUCAGUUGAAAAACUUUCUCAUAAAGAUUAAACGUUUCUUGUACGAAUUACAGUUUCUCAUUAAAAAGAGAAAAGGAGGAGUUUCUUUCAAAAUGAGAAUAUUUUUUGUUAAAACACGUUUUUCUGUCUUUUUAAAAUCAUUUUGUGUCUCUUUGUGGUUGUUUUGCAUUUCCUUGUCAUUUUGCUUUUAUGUGUUUUCAUUUUGUGUCCCUUUUAUGUUUCUUUAUGGUCAUUUCGUGUGUGUUUUCAGUAUUUUUUUCUCUCUCUGAUUGUCUUGUGUCCUUUCAUAGUCAUUUUGUGUCUCUGUGGUCAUUUUCCAUCUCAUGUUGUCUCUUUUUAGUCAUGUUGUGUGUCUCCAGCGGCUAUCUUUCUAACUCUUGUGUGUCUGCUGUGUAAUCCGUCCAUGAAUCUGGGCUCUAAAUGAGUAUCGGGUGUAAAAGCUGCUGCUGAGUGACUGCAGCAGAUAAGGAGGAGGACAGUGUAAAUACUGGAGCUGCUGAGGGUCUGUGCUGACUCAGUGUGUGUCUGUCUCACCUUAUCUCGCGGUGUGUAAAUGCAUGAGGCCUGUGAAGCGACGCAGCCGCCCGAGGCCGAAGCAUUUUAAUGAAGCAGAUGAAACUGUGUGAAGACCUGAGCAGGUUUCUGAUCAGCUCUGCAACAGGAAUCCAUUUAUGGAAGCAUCAGCCGCACUGACGCCUCCAAGUCCCAGCAUGCACCUGUGAAAGAUGCUAAAGCUUUUCAUGUUUUCUUCAUGCUCCAUCUUUUAGGGCUGAAAGGUGAAGCCACUUCCAAAAAAAUGCAGUUUCUCCAAAUGGCUGCAAAAGAGAUGCUUGAAAGUCCAGCAGCUGUUUAGCCUUCAGUAGAGGUUUGGUAUGAGGGGUUUAUUGUGUUUCAUUUUUGGUCAUUUAUGUCACUGUGGGGCAAUUUUAAGUCUCUUUGUGGUUGUAUUGUGUCUAUUUGUGGUUAAUUUUUGUGUCUUGGCAGUUAUUCAAUUUCAAUUCAAUUCAAUUUUAUUUAUAUAGCAUCAAUUACAGUCAAAUCGUCUCAAGACGCUUUACAGAACCCAUAUGCCUGACCCCCAGAGCAAGCCCAAAGGCGACAGUGGCAAGGAAAAACACCCUUUUAACAGGGAAAAAACCUUGAGCAGAACCCGGCUCUAUAUAGGGGGGACCCAUCUGCCUGCUGGCCGGACGGGUUGAGAAGGACAGAGGAGGGCAAGGGGGAGGGAUGGGAGAAGAGGGAGGGGUGGGAGAGCAAGGAAAACACAACACACAUUUGGAUACAUGUAUGACAGGAUAUGUGACACAAACAAAGUAUAAGCUAACAUUGAAAACUGACUCAUAAUUUACUCUUAUGAUGUACGGCUCUAACAUUAAACAUACUCCAUAUAUAGCUAGCAGUAAAAUUCAAACAGUAUGUAAGUUAGCAUAACAAGUAUAGUGAAGGCAAUGCAGAGUUGACUGGUGGAAAAGGGGAGUUGGAAGCAGAGGGCUGGAGGAAGGUCAGCAGCAGCAUCCCACAGUGGACAUGGUGGAGACUGGACCAGCUGGUGGAACAUCGACCGCAGAUCUGAAGCAUCCAGCUCUGGGACCAGGGACACUCGGAGAAAUAGCACAGGGGGAAACAGAGUGAAUGUACUGCAAUAACGGUAUACAUAUUAAAUGUAAAGGUAGAUAGAGAAGGGCUCAGUGCGUCAAGAAAAGUCCCCCAGCAGCCUAUAGGCCUAUAGCAGCAUGACUAGAGGCAGAACGAAGGGACGUCCAAGAGGGAGUCAGCUGUGCAAAUGAAGACACAAGCCGAACCCCUGUGGGUCACCCAGUCAGCCCCAACUAUAAGAUUUGUCAAAAAGGAACGUUUUAAGCCUGGUCUUAAAAAUAGAGAGGGUGUCUGCCUCCCGAACCCAAACUGGGAGCAGGUUCCACAGGAGAGGCGCCUGAUAACUGAAGGCUCUGCCUCCCAUUCUACUUUUAGAAAUUCUAGGAACAACAAGUAAGCCUGCAGCUUGAGAGCGAAGAGUUCUACUAGGAUAAUAAGGUACUAUCAGAUCUUUAAGAUAUGAUGGAGAUUGGUUAUUAAGAGCUUUAUAUGUCAGAAGAAGGAUUUUAAAUUCUAUUCUGGAUUUAACAGGUUACAUUU